rnacentral:rRNA from 1 species
CCUACGGGAGGCAGCAGUGGGGAAUCUUGCGCAAUGGGCGAAAGCCUGACGCAGCAACGCCGCGUGCGGGAUGAAGGCCUUCGGGUUGUAAACCGCUUUCAGCAGGGAAGAAAUUGACGGUACCUGCAGAAGAAGCCCCGGCCAACUACGUGCCAGCAGCCGCGGUAACACGUAGGGGGCGAGCGUUGUCCGGAUUUAUUGGGCGUAAAGAGCUCGUAGGCGGUUCGGUAAGUCGGGUGUGAAACCUUCCAGGCUCAACCUGGAGACGCCACCUGAUACUGCUGUGACUAGAGUCCGGUAGGGGAGUGUGGAACUCCUGGUGUAGCGGUGAAAUGCGCAGAUAUCAGGAAGAACACCAGCGGCGAAGGCGGCACUCUGGGCCGGUACUGACGCUGAGGAGCGAAAGCGUGGGUAGCAAACAGGAUUAGAUACCCUGGUAGUCCACGCCGUAAACGUUGGGCACUAGGUGUGGGUCUCAACCAACGAGAUCCGUGCCGCAGCUACGCAUAGUAGCCCGCCGUCGGGAGGUACGGCCGCGACGACGUAAACGUACGAAGGAAGUAGACGGCGNGAGACGUCGCCGACGGACGACGACGAGGGAGGUAGG